UUGCUUUGGCAGCACAUGCACUAAAAUUGGAAUGAUACAGACAAGAUUAGCACGGCCCCUGCACAAGGAAGUUAUCCAUAUUUUUUAAUAACAACAAAAAAGAU